rnacentral:rRNA from 1 species
CACGUAGGGGGCAAGCGUUGUCCGGAUUCAUUGGGCGUAAAGAGCUCGUAGGCGGUUCGAUAAGUCGGGUGCGAAACCUCCAGGCUCAACCUGGAGACGCCACCCGAUACUGUCGUGACUAGAGUCCAGUAGGGGAGCGUGGAAUUCCUGGUGUAGCGGUGAAAUGCGCAGAUAUCAGGAGGAACACCGGUGGCGAAGGCGGUUCUCUGGGCAUUACCUGACGCUGAGGAGCGAAAGUGUGGGGAGCGAACAGG